GACGAACGCUGGCGGCAUGCCUAAUACAUGCAAGUCGAGCGAACAGAUGAAGUGCUUGCACUUCUGACGUUAGCGGCGAACGGGUGAGUAACACGUAAGGAAUCUACCUAUAAGCGGGGGAUAACAUUCGGAAACGGGUGCUAAUACCGCAUAAUAUCUUCUUCCGCAUGGAAGAAGAUUGAAAGACGGCUCUGCUGUCACUUAUAGAUGACCUUGCGGUGCAUUAGUUAGUUGGUGGGGUAAUGGCCUACCAAGACGAUGAUGCAUAGCCGAACUGAGAGGUUGAUGGGCCACAUUGGAACUGAGACACGGCCCAGAAUCAUACGGGAGGCAGCAGUAGGGAAUCUACCGCAAUGGGCGAAAGACUGACGGAGCAAUGCCGCGUGAGUGAAGAAGGCCUUCGGGUCGUAAAACUCUGUUAUAAGAGAAGAACAAAUUGUAGAGUAACUGCUACAGUCUUGACGGUAUCUUAUCAGAAAGCCACGGCUAACUACGUGCCAGCAGCCGCGGUAA
rnacentral:rRNA from 1 species